GAGAUGUUAGUAAAAUAUUAUACUACUUUGUCAAAGUAGAGUUGGUAGUUAAACUCUUCCACACCUUA
rnacentral:tRNA from 1 species